GACGAACGCUGGCGGCGUGCCUAAUACAUGCAAGUCGAACGCAGUGGGGACGGGUGAGUAACACGUGGGUAACCUCCCAUCAGAGUGGCUAACACUUGGAAACAGGUGCUAAACCGAUAUUGAUGUAUGUACCCGCGGUGCAUUAGCUAGUUGGUGAGGUAACCGCUCACCAAGGCCACGAUGCAUAGCGGACAUGAGAGGGUGAUCGGCAACACUGGGACUGAGACACGGCACAGACUCCUACGGGAGGCAGAAGUAGGGAAUCUUCGGCAAUGGACGAAAGUCUGACCGAGAAACGCCGCGUGAGUGAAGAAGGUUUUCGGGUCGGAGAACUCUGUUGUUAGAGAAGCGGUAUCUAACCAGAAAGCCACGGCUAACUACGUGCCAGCAGCCGCGGUAAUAC
rnacentral:rRNA from 1 species